rnacentral:sRNA from 1 species
GCUCUACCAUUUGAGCUACAUCCCCAAUUGAUUAUAAUCAUCCAUUGUUUAUAAUUG